UUUUUUUUUUUUUCCCAACCUCAAACAUAGGGGGGGGGGGGGGAAAAAAAAAAA
rnacentral:miRNA from 1 species